rnacentral:rRNA from 1 species
CAGUAGCCACGGGAAUACGAAGGGUGCAAGCGUUAAUCGGAAUUACUGGGCGUAAAGCGCGCGUAGGCGGUUACUCAAGUCAGAGGUGAAAGCCCGGGGCUCAACCCCGGAACUGCCUUUGAAACUAGGUGACUAGAAUCUUGGAGAGGUCAGUGGAAUUCCGAGUGUAGAGGUGAAAUUCGUAGAUAUUCGGAAGAACACCAAUGGCGAAGGCGACUGACUGGACAAGUAUUGACGCUGAGGUGCGAAAGCGUGGGGAGCAAACAGGAUUAGAUACCCCAGUAGUCCAUGUCUCUUAUAC